CCAGCCUGCAUGGGGAGGGCCUGGCUGCCCAGACACCCACCCUCACUUCUCAUGGCCAGCCUGUGUUUGCAGAUCACUGGGCUGCUCUGUCCCCAGCUUGCCCCAUGCCUGACAUGGCUCCAUGAGAUUCUGUGGAAUGCCCUUCUUGACUCGUGGAAAUCAUUCACCAAGUACGAUGGGAUGGGAUUCCAAGUAAACAGUGGACCGUCAUAUUGCAAAGCAGGCCCACGCCUGGGCUGGCCUUGGUUGAGGGGAUGGAGGAAUGUUUUCGGGGGUGCUUUGCAGGGCAGUGGUGCAGCCGCAGUGUGAACGGUCUUGGACAGCUGAAAACCAUGGCCUCCUUGGGGAUGGCCAGUGCUCCUGGUGUCUCCUCCACCUGCCUGGGUUGUGCAGGAGGCCAGCUGCCAGUGCCUGGGGCUGGGAAACUUUUUUGCUUGGGGCAGGCUUGGGCGAGCUCUCCCAGAUGUGUGCCCACCCCACCACUGCCUGGAAGCAUCCUUGUUCUCUGCCAGGAUGCAGGGUCACUGUUGCCUCUGACACAGCAGUUUCUGGGAACUCAGAGGACUGCCUUUCUGAAGGCUGGGGAGAGGCUUUGAGCAAGGAGCUUGUUUUUGCUUAAUCCCUCUAGACCAUCCCUGAUGCGUAGAUGUGAGAGGAUGUUUUCUGGCACAGUGUUAUGAAAAUACAGGAGAAACAGUCUCAGUGGAAUGUUUCAUAUUACCCGAAAAAAACU
rnacentral:lncRNA from 1 species